rnacentral:lncRNA from 1 species
AUGAGGGAGUCCACCCGAGGAGCCACCCUCCCCCACCCUGCCCACACGCACCGCCAGACCCCACAACUGGAGCCCCCUGCGUUGGCUGCGCCCAACCCACUAGCAGCCGCCUCCCCAGAACUCGCAGCAGCUACACCCCACGCUCUACCCCCAAAGCCACAAGGGGGGUACCUCCCCCCCACUUUCAACACGAACUGCCCCCCCGCAUCGCAAGCAGUUAUACAACCAGGUCUGCCUUCCCCUGCCCCCAACAGCCCUCCCUCACCCGCCCCAAACACGCCUCCCCCCACCGCCCCACCAACAGCCCUCCCCGCCCCACCGCCCCAACACCAGCCCCCCCCUCCCCCCCAACAGCCCUCCCCUCCACCCCCCACACCUCAUCCCCCACACCGCUACCCCUCCCACACCGCAGCAGUUACACCCAGUCUUGCCUAACUGCACCAAAGCCCCUUCCCUCCACCGCCCCACCAACAGGCCCUUCCCUCCACCGCCCCAACAGCUGCCCCCCCAGAUCUGCAGCAGUUCCACCAGGUCUUGCCUUCCUUGCACCCACAGCCCCCCUGCCACCACCCCAAACAGCUCCCCCCCAGAUCUGCAACAGUUACCACCCUGUCUUGCAUCCUGGCCCUUCCCCCCCACCCCCCCAACUGCCCUUCCAUCCCCCGCCCCAACUGCCUUCCCUCCACCGCCCACUUGCCUUCCUCCACCGCCCCACAACUGCCCAGCCCUCCACCACCCCCAAUGCCCAGCCCUCCACCGCCCCACAACUGCCCUUCCCUCCACCGCCCCAACUGCCCUCCCCCACGCGCCAAAAAAAACAGCCCUUCCCCUCCACCGCCCCCAGACCCGAUGCCAGGUCUGUGCCCAUUACCCUACGGCGCCAACGCCCUCCAGCAGGCACUGGCCCAGAAGUUCCCCACGGUCCCCCCCCAGGGCCUCUUUUCCCCCAGCUGCCAGAGCUGGUAGAGUCGCCCUGGCAACCAUCCUCCCCCGCCCCACCUCCCCUCCUACCCCACCGCCUCCCCAGAAGCUCUCUGUGCCUCCUCCCCCACCCCCACCUCCUCCCACUCCUCCUCCCCCAACUCCUCAGCAGCAGUACUCGCCCGCAGCUGCUCCCCCCCCUGCCCUACCCAAAAACCUUCUCCCCAGGCUUUUUGCUCCACCACGGUGCCCCGGAAGCUCUCUAACCCUGUUUCCCCUCUCCCCCCCCCGCCCCACCUGCUACCUACUCCUCCCCCCACCCCCGCCCCCCUCCUCCUCCGGUGUCAAUGAAGAAGCAGCACACCUCCAGGUAGUCCACACUCCCAACCAGCCCCUCCCACAUUUCCCAGCAGCACAGCCUCUCCAAGCCGCCACCCAUGUCAUUCAUGGCUCCGCCCACCAAACCUCCUGGUCAACAGAUGGCAAGCCAGUUCCCAGGUCCACACUGUCAACCAAUCAACUUGAGAGCCCCAAAGCCCCCCUUUCCCCUCCCGCGGUGAAGGCCACAAACCAAGAUGGCAGCCAGGCUGUGGACAGGCCCAGCAAAAGGCCUCUGAGUUCCCUCACACCGUUCUGGAGAGCCUGUCUUUUUCCCUCCUCCUCCCCCCGCUCCCCUCCGCCCCCACCUGCUCCAGUUACCGGCCUUGCCCCUCUUUGCUCCCACUCCCCCUCCCAUUCACUGGCCCCACCCCUCCGCCUCCCCUCUCCCCCCGGCAACCUAUGCUCGCCCCUGAAGACAUCUCCAUCGGGCUCCUACACACCUUCUUCAGGCUCCUCUGGCUGGGGGGGCAGGAAGCCCCCGCCUGCCACCCCCCAGAAGGCCUCCAACAUCAAGUCUAACUCCUCGGCUGAAUACCAGGAGUCCCGCAGGAACCUUCUCAGCAGUUUGCCCCCCAGUCCUCUUCCCCCUCCACCUUCCAAUCCUUCCCUGCCGUGUCCUUGGAUAGUUCUCCCUCUAAGGACCCCCCUUUCCCCCGGCCGCCCCCCCCGGCGCCCCCAAGCCAGGCAAGUUAAACCUGGCCCACCUGCCCUUCAGGCCAAAGGGGUCAAGUGGGCCAGCAGCGUCAGUCCACCGCCGACUUCCCCUCCUUCCAGCGGAGUGCGCCGUGGCCUACCUCCCCACUCCCCCACUGGCUUUUGA